GAUGAUUGUUAAACGAUGCAAUAGUCAACAAAAUGCAGCACCUGUAGUUAACAAAAGCCAAGAAUAAAACAGUUCCACAGUGCUCGAGAACUUCAAGAUUCAUCUGGACAUCAGGAAAAAUCCUUCCUUAAUCUUUCAAUAUAUAUAAAGAUUUCCGAUUGGUUUACAAUAAAAUAUGAAACCUCAACUGUGUAGGAGCUCAACGAUUAUGGACCAACAACAAUCAACCAUGAACAACCACAGUUCCAAGCUUCAACAAUUUUCGAGAAAUCCACAGAAGAGGAUUUGAAUUCCUGAUCUUUGGUUACCUUAAUGGAAGAGGAUUUGAAUUCGUUACCUUAGGGGAAGGGAGGUAUGGUCACUGUUGCAGAGAGGAGAGGAGAGGAG
rnacentral:lncRNA from 1 species